rnacentral:rRNA from 1 species
CCUACGGGUGGCAGCAGUAGGGAAUAUUGCUCAAUGGGGGAAACCCUGAAGCAGCAACGCCGCGUGGAGGAUGAAGGUUUUAGGAUUGUAAACUCCUUUUGUGAGAGAAGAUAAUGACGGUAUCUCACGAAUAAGCACCGGCUAACUCCGUGCCAGCAGCCGCGGUAAUACGGAGGGUGCAAGCGUUACUCGGAAUCACUGGGCGUAAAGAGUGCGCAGGCGGGCUUGUAAGUCAGAUGUGAAAUCCUGUAGCUUAACUACAGAACUGCAUUUGAAACUAUGAGUCUAGAGUGUGGGAGAGGUAGGUGGAAUUCUUGGUGUAGGGGUAAAAUCCGUAGAUAUCAAGAGGAAUACUCAUUGCGAAGGCGACCUACUGGAACAUUACUGACGCUCAUGCACGAAAGCGUGGGGAGCAAACAGGAUUAGAUACCCCGGUAGUC